GAUAACUGUUACUACUGAGUCAGGUUUCUUUUUCCUGUCAAUGAUGAGGUACCUUUUAUGUCAUGUCUUCCUCUUCUGCUGUUCAUGUUGCUUGCAAUACCGAGUGGCAGCUCCUCUUGAUCUCCUUCCACCACCAUUGUUAGUCACUUGUUCAAAGCCAGAAAAUCGUGUUUAUCAACGUCAAGAUAACGAACUCCAGGUUUCAUGUCUGUGGGAUGAAUACAUUGAAUUGUGCUACUCAAGAGCACAAGGAGUGAAUUCUAAAAAGAGAGAGACAGACUUACAACCCGCUCCUCAUUGCCACUGGUACCGAGAUUCCAUCCUGGUAAACAGUACAGAGAACUGGCUAGGUGAGUUGGUGCUGGGUCCAGGCCUGCCAGGGGAAGGUCCCUAUCCACCAUGGGCUUAUAGUCGGAUCACAGUACAGUGUACAUCAACUUUGUGCUCUGCCCCCUUGUGCUUUCACCACAACCUGAGCAUUGAGGUUACCGGGCAAGAUGUCCGACUUUUCCUGCUCUGGCCACGCACCCUUCCAGUUUUUGAAUGGCAGCCAGUGCACCUGGGUUGGUGCGCACGCCUUAAGAGUUCCUCAUGGAGCUAUCGCUUCAGGAGCCGAGGGGGUAGUCCAGAAGAUCUCCUCAUUCCCAGCAACCAGCACAGUGAACCACUUCCAUUCGCUGGCUACCCUAAUGCAGAAUUGUACCAGGUCUGCGCAUCGUACUAUAGCUACCACCUGACUGUAUGCUACCCCCAUCGUGGAUUCUAUACCGCUUCAGUCAGUGUUCAGCAUCGACCUCUGAUCAGCCUUAGCAUAGAAUUAUAUGUGGAGCCUGCCCUGUUGCAUGUCUUUAGUGUACAUUCCAGAUUGCUGAGCCACCCACAUGGGACAAUCAGCCUUUCCUGGAGUCUUCUACAGCUCAGCCAAGGAAUAGUAGCUUAUAAACUAUUAAGCACGCGUGAUACAAGAGAGUGGUCUCACUUCUACAAUUACAACCAUUUUGCUCUACGCAGCAAUUUCUGUGCCGUUCCCAUACCAUAUCACUCCAAGGAGAAGGUGGUGGCCAGUGUCUAUUUUCGUACUAAUGAGAAGAUGCCUGAACAACUGGCAGGAAAACUUGAUUUCUUUAAUGAGACUUUGAUUUUCAGAGCAAGCACUGGAGCCGCAACUUAUCUCACACUCAAUCCACAGAAAACCAGAAGAGGCAUCUACAUUUUUAGCCAUACACUGGGAUUGUACUAUUCUACACAGGAAGACAGCACUACUACCACCACUAGGAAGGGCUACAGCUCCCACUAUAUCUUUUACGAGGAGCAGAGCCUCUGUUACCUGAUCAUUGUUGAAUUCAUGCAGCUGCAAUUGUCCAAGUUCAGCAUCCAUGUGUAUCUGAAUCGGAAAGGGACUUUGUUCAGGUCUCUAGGAGAAAAAGAUAUUGAAGUUCACGUUUUCAAUAACAGUUCUCCUGAAGACAGUUUGGUCUCUAUUGUGUGGUUUAUUCCUGUGCAACAUCCACUGCUACAGUGUGAGUGGACCUUCAACCUUCAACUUUUUGAUUCUAGAGGCAAGUACCCAGUUCAGAACUAUACUUUCACCUACAUAAAUCAUGUCAAAAAUGCAAUGCAAUUCAUUUCUGAUUCUUUCUUAACUUUCAACUCUGCCCUCUUCACUGGUUUUGUAGCAAAGGUGAAAUGCAUUGGAAAUGGACUUAUGCCAACUAUUUUAAAAGCCACAGUCAACACUUAUGCUUCAAAGGCCCUCAGAUUUAGCAUAGCUUGCCAUCAAAAACCCUGUUCUAUUAAGGAAAUUAGUAUCCAGAAGCCAGACGCUUCUCAGCGUGUGGUGUAUUAUACCCAAGGAACAGAGUUUACUCUGGAUGCUGAUACACGUAUCACUUGUCCAGGUCCUAAUCAAACAAAUGUCAUUUGGAACAUCUAUAAAGUUCCAGAUCUGACUACUACACCAGAUUGGUCAAAACCUUUUAAUCCACCUAGCAUUGGAAGAAGAAAUUCCACCAUAUUAAAAGUACCUGGUCCUGUCUUAGAUAAUGGCUUGUAUCUCUUUAAUUUUACAAUGAAUUUAACCUCUUUGGAUACAUGGAAGAGCAUGGAAGGAUCUGAUUCACUGUUUGUCAAGAUUGGAUCAGAUACCUUUGUGGCUGUCAUUGCUGGAGGCAGUAUCCGGACAGUUGGAUUUUCUGAUGAGUGGAUACUUAAUGGAUCUGCAUACUACAAUGGUGAGGCAGUCCAACCCUCUAAAGGGCUGUCCUUUACGUGGUAUUGCAGCAAACAAAAAACAGACUACACAUCAAUGACUCUAAGUGAAAACGGGAAAUGUCAUCCAGAUCAGGUAGAUUUAAAAUGGAUAACAUGCUCUGUUCCAGUUCAAAGAGUGCAACCUGAAACACUUCAAGGAAAUAAUGUGUAUUAUUUUCGCCUGGUGGUUCAAAAUGGUAGCAGAAUAGCUCAGACGGAACAAAUAGUACAUGUGCAAGCUCCUCUUGCCAUAAUCCUAAAUGUCACAUGUAUUGAAAAUUGUGGUGAGUCAGUAAUUCCAACAGAAAGAUUUUGUCUUUCUGGCAAAUGCCUAAAUUGCAGAAGUGGCAAAUCUCUCUAUUACUGGUCACUUUACUCAGCACAGUCCAGUGAAAUAAAUUUUGAUUGGUCUUCAAAAAGUGCAACUGGAAGAUCCAAUCCAUAUCUGCAUAUAAAUGCUUAUGCAUUUGUAUCCAUGGCAGAGCAGUCAUUUACAUUUAGUCUGAAAGUCACCACAAAGGAAGGACAGUCAGCCAUCUACGAAUAUUCUUUUUAUGUGAAUGGCCCACCUCAGAUAGGAAAGUGUGUUAUCAAUCCAAAGAUAGGCAUGGCAUUCCUAACAAAAUUCAUCAUUCAGUGCAGUGGAUUUGAAGACAAAAAUGGACCUCUUACAUAUAAAGUGAUAGCAUCAUCAAAUCAAAUCAAAACCGGUGCCGUAUCUUCAGUAGAGAAUAAUGUUUUGGGAAUAAUAGUGUAUGCUGGUCAUGAGCCUAAAACUCCUCGUUCUUUUCUUCCAGUUGGUAUACCAUCUCAGAACUCUACCUUAAUCAUAUAUGUUCAAGUGUAUGAUGCCCUUGGAGCAUCUUCUCAGGUAAUAUUACAAGCAACUGUGUAUGAUCAAAGAAAAAAUAAACCAACUCGUGUUGUUCAGCAUGAUCUACAUGGUUUAAUCAGUGGACCAACCGCUGCUAUGACAACUUUGCUUGCAGCUAAAGAUUACUUUAAUAUAGGUUAUUUUGUAUAUAUGGUGGCCUCUGUAUUAAAUAAUAUAGAGACUUUGCCAACCAAUCAAGGCUCUAAAACUGAUUUGCGACAAAUCCUUCUUAAUAUAACUAUGAGGAUACCUACAACUGAUGUUCUGAAAAUAACCCAAGUGAUUUUGAGUAUUUGUCAGGUAACACAUGAAACUACUGAAGUAAACAGGGAAUCACAACUGCUUGCAGUCAGAAAACUAAGAGAGGUCAGUGAAGCUCUAAAAAGGCUCAGGGCCAAAGACUUAGGUUCUAAGGAAGCAGAGAUCCUUGGCAAUGGUAUAUUUAUCGGGUUGUCCAGUGUGUUGAGCGCUUCUCUCUUGAACCAUGGAAAUGUCAAUGCCAAUGCAAUUAAAGAAACCAUUUCAGUGACAGAAAUAUUAGCAGAUCUAGUCUUACAAGGUAAAGUCCCUGGGGAGCAAGAAACUAACAUGGAGACUGAAAUCUGGGCCAUGCAUUUACGGAAAGAUGAGAAAUGGGAUGUUUCAGGAACUUUCUCUGACAGACAAUAUUGCAGGAACUGCUUUUAUACUGAACUGAAAAAGAGUAAUCAUGCUGAAUUACAGGUAGAUGCUGUGGUAUCCACUGUUCUUUAUGAAUUUGACAGAAAUCCCUUUCCAUGGUUGCUUUAUACAGAAGAUAUUGGAACAAUGGUGACUGGAUUAAAAAUGACAGGAACCAAAGCUAACGGUGACGUAAUCAGUAUCACACCUCAUGUGGUUGAAAUGAUCAUGGCUAGAAAAGAGGAGGCCAUCUUUGACUUGACAAUAGGACCAGACAAAAAUCUCCCUAAAACAACUGGUGGCUUUAGUUUUGAAGUAAAAAGAAGCUCCAAAGAUAUUUUUAUCCAGAUUGUGUCUAAAAUAAAUAUUACUUUUCAUGUCUUUAUAUACCUAGGCCACAAUAUCAGCCACCCCCCUGUAGCUGUGUAUGCUGCUUCCCAUUCCAGUCCUCCUACACCAACUAAAAUGGAUACUAAUGUCACUGAUUGUGCAGUUAAGGCUCCAUAUAUCCUUUGUCUUCCUCAGUCAUUGCUUUGGUCUCUUUUCCAGAGCAAUAGAGCAGACAGACUGAAUAUCUCUGUUGUCUUACAAUCACAUCCAAUUGUCAGAGACCAAACCACAAAGAUAGUUCGCAUUGCUCAUUUUGCAGCAGCCUGCCUAGACCUGGAUGGAAUUCAGAACCAAUGGAAAGAAGGGAGUUGCCAUCUUGGCCCUCAGACCACCUAUUCCAAAAUACAUUGCAUCUGUAAAGCAAAAGAGCGUAGCAGAAGAACAGCCAACCCCAGGCCAUCAAGGACCUCAGGACUUGGUAUCCAAUUUUUGGCUGCCAAAGUACUUUUAUUUCCCAAUCAAGUUGAUAUGAAAAGGUUCCUUUUAGCAUUGAGUGGCCAAAAUCCUGUAACAGGGUUGACAGUUCUUGCUAUUUUUAUAAUCUACAUCUCUUUGGCUAUCUGGGUCAUAAGAAAAGAUAAAGCUGGCAUCAGGGAUCAGGUCAUAGAUUUGCCAGACAAUGAUCCCUUUCACGAGGUGAGGUAUCUAGUCACAAUAUACACAGGAAGUCGUUUAAGAUCAGGCACCAAUGCUGAUGUCUUCAUUGAACUGAUUGGCCAAAAUGGGGCCAGUGAUGUACAUCAUUUAAAACAUCCACAGUUCCCAGGGAUCUUUCAGGACGGAUCCAUUGACACCUUUCUCUUAACUACUGAGAGAGACUUAGGAAACAUUUGUUCUCUUCAUAUCUGGCGCAAUAAUCAUGGCUUUGGUCCUAACUGGUUCUUAAGCCGAAUCAAAGUAAAAAACAUGGAUACUAAACAGUCAUGGCUAUUUAUAUGUAGGAAAUGGUUUGAUCCUGGCAGGGAUGAUUGCCAAAUAGAAAGGUCAUUUACUGUUACAAAUCCCAGUGUACCCUUAAGCAAGACUGAUUACUUUUGUAUUAUGAUUAGCAAUGACCUGUUCAAGAACCAUCUUUGGCUGUCUGUCGUUGUUCAUUUAGAUGAUGACUCUUUCAGCAGAUUCCUCAGGCUGACUUGUUGCUUAGCAAUACUGUUAAGCUCCCUGCUGUUUAACACUAUAUUCUUCAACGAUAUUGAUCAAUAUAUUUAUUCAGUAGAACUACAGUAUUUGAGAUCUAUAACAAUUGGAAUAGAAAGUUCUUUGAUUUCAGUUCCUGUGCAAUUGGUUCUGGUAACCUUGUUUAAGCAUUUAUCAAAGAAACUUUCAGCCUGGAACGCAGCUCAAGCUCACCCAAAAGGAAGUUCCUCCUUUUCAUCUGAAAACCUUUGUGAAGAAGGCAAUUUAAAAGCUGCUCCACCCUCAGAGAUGAAGUCCCAGCAAUUCCCCCACAGAGACACCAAUUCCAGCAAUAAUGUCGCAACAGAAAAUGAAACAUUUUCUGAGAAAAUACACAAACCACAGUCUACUUGGUGGGUUCUAUACAUCGCCUGGAUCAUUGUGCUUUCUGUAUCUGGUGUGCUCUCAUUCUUCAUUGUACUACUUGGCCAAUCCUAUUCCACUAAAACCUCUUUUGAGUGGUUAAUAGCUUCCAUUACCUCAUUUUGCCUAACUGUGCUUUUCCUUGAGACCUUUAAGGUCGUUUUUUUUACAGCCUGGAAUACCAUUUAUCCAAAAUACUGCAGAAAUAUCCCAUGGACAAGAUACCAAGAUCUUAAGUUUAAUGAUAGAACUAUCCCUGCAAACGAGAUGAGACAGUUACAUGAUAACCUUGUCAAACUUAGAGCUUCAAAGAAAUACCAACCAAUUAAAGGCGAAGAGCUUAUAAUAUUGAGGAAGAAAGCAACUCUUAAGAGUCUAGGUUAUAUUUUAGCAAAAAAUAUGGUCUGUCACUUUGUCUUUUUAGCUUUAAUUUUAAAGUAUACUCAUCCUACAGAAACCACCAGUAGCUUUCACUACAAUCGAUUUAUGCGUAAGAAAUUUUCUCUUGGUUUAUCUGAAGUAAAUAAAGUAGAAGAUAUUUACAAAUGGGUGAAAAAUAUCCUUCUGCCGUUGAUACACAAUGACUAUCAACCAACCUAUCUUUCAGAGACCUGGUCCAAAGUCCUUGGGUCGCCCAGAAUGAGACAAAUAAGAGGUAUACAUUCUGACAGGGCAUGUACCUAUUUACAUAGCUUUCAAAAAGCAUUUCUGACGGAUAUUCACUGUGUACACCGAUAUGGAGGUGACCCAGAAGAUCAAGCUGACUACAAUGGGUCAUGGUCAGCUCCAGUCAAUCGUCCAGCUGCUAACCCCACCAGCUUUUCAGGCUACACUUAUGAACAAAGCAUUGCUGAGUGGGAAUAUGAGUCAUAUGGAGAAUUAAACAGCUACCCAUCCAGAGGAUACAGCUUUUAUUUUUUCACAGGAGAACCACAAAUAAAUUCAACAGAAAGAUUGAAGACUUUGGAAAGGAACACCUGGCUUGAUCACAGGACGUGGGUAACUAUUAUUGAGCUGACCACUUUUAAUCCAGAUGCAGAUCUGUUUUGCAGUAUUUCUGUCAUAUUUGAAUUUUCAUAUGUUGGCCCUCUUGUCAGCAGUGUGUCAGUUCAUUCUUAUAAGCUCCCACUUUUAGCUGACCAAACCAGUAGUCAAGUUUUCUUAUUUUUAUGUAUUGUAGCUAUACUUAUAUUUUAUAUUGUGGAUGAAUAUCGCAUGCUGCGUCAAGAAAGGCUGAAUUAUAUAAAAACAGCUGCCAAUUUAAUUAAUUUUGGAAUUAAGACAUUCUGUCUAAUUUUUUUGCUGCUGAUUCUAUUCAGAUUGAAGCUUGCUUUUGAGUUAAUGCAGUUUUAUUUGUAUAAUCAAGAACAAUUCAUUCCCUUCCAUGCAGCUGCUCAUUUUGAUCGAGUUGUCAGAACAAUUAAGGCAUUAUUGGCUUUUUUCCUAGUUAUGAAAACAUACCGGUAUCUCAGGUUUAUGUUUGAUGUUCGCUUGGCCCAAAAGUCAUUGUUUGAAGCUCUUCCUACAAUUACUAACUUGUCUGUAGGAGGGGCCAUUUUAUUUUUUGCAUAUAUGUCAGUUGGGUAUUUAGGAUUUGGCCAACAUGAAGAAAGUUACCGUACUUUGCUUUAUUCCUUUACUACUGUGUUAUCUUACUGUGCCUUAGCAUUUAGGGGCACUGAAUUUGCAGCUGAUAGGUUUCUGGCAGGUCUCUUUUUAACUUCCUUUUUGUUUGUGAUGAUUUGUGUUAUCCUCAAUUUAUUGCAAGCUAUUAUGAUCUCUGCUUAUACGGAGGCAAAGAGAUCUAUCUAUCCAGAACAUGCACAUGAAGCUGAAAUGAUGGAUUUUGUGAUCCAAAAGAUCUAUAGUGCAUGGGUUUUUGUGACCACUGGUAAACGGACCACAACACGGACAGUCAUGUUUAACAGAAUGCUGUAUGGAAAACAAAGAAAAAACUAUGUGCAACAGUUUAAAAAGGAAGAAUAAUAAUAGAAUAAUUGAUAAAUAGCUUACCUUCCAGUUUGAAAAAGAGAUUGAUAAGAAAUUGAUUAAUUUCUGCCAUGUUUUCCUAUACAUUUCUUAUACAUUUUCUUGCUAUAUCAUCCAAAUACCCAAACUUGCGUUAAGGUAACAUAUCAGUCACCUUUCAGUGAUCCCAUCUCUGAUAUCUCUAGUGAUUUCCAUAAUUACUGGCAGAAGACUUAUCAGUGAACAUAUACAUUCUAAAUAUACACUGAUUCAGUAAUUUCAGGAACUUCUCAGCAUGCACAUGUUUCUGCACAGGAGUGAGAACCUCUAAAAAGAUGGGGAACUGACCAGUUAAAUGUGAAAUAGAUGUUGCUAUGCUUGGGAAGCCUUGGGGAUGUGUCUGGCACACAGCUGCUGAAUUGUGGUUAUUAUCCAGCCUGUAUCCCUACCACAAAUUUACCUCAACAGCUCCAAAGUUUUCCAAAUAAAGAUGAGUGAUAACCAGAGAUAACCAGCAGGCAAGAUUCACUGCAUAUAUAGAAACUUUUGAUGGUAAUGAAAUAGAAAUGCAUGCCUUCCUCUCUGAGUUUUAAACUCAAAUUUCAUCAUUUUCCAGGAAGCCAGUUUUCUGUGGCUGCAUCCAGGUGUCUUAGUUUAACAUUACCUAGUUGUUAACACAAAAUAGUUACUCUAUGUAGUUAGAAGUGUUUGUUCAUACAAUUAGUCUACACCUUUUCUUAAGAAUUCCACUGUUAUUGCACAAUAUAUGUUUGAUGUUUAAGAAGUUAAAGUGGGGUGGGGUUUUCUUCUUUAAUGAAACCAUAGUAAACAUCCCUUCAGUGUUAACUUUUCCUGCUCAUUUGAAUAAAUUCUAUAGGUUUCACAAA
rnacentral:lncRNA from 1 species